rnacentral:rRNA from 1 species
UAAUACCGAAUGUGGCUUCCGGGAGGCAUCUCCUGGCAGCUAAAGUUGGGGACCGUAAGGCCUGACGCUUCACGAUGAGCCCGCGGCCUAUCAGCUAGUUGGUGAGGUAACGGCCCACCAAGGCUAAGACGGGUAGCUGGUCUGAGAGGACGGCCAGCCACACUGGAACUGAGACACGGUCCAGACACCUACGGGUGGCAGCAGUCGAGAAUUUUUCACAAUGGGCGAAAGCCUGAUGGAGCGACGCCGCGUGGGGGAUGAAUGGCUUCGGCCCGUAAACCCCUGUCAUUUGCGAGCAAACCUUUUCCGAUAAUACCGGGAAAGUUGAUAGUAGCGAAAGAGGAAGGGACGGCUAACUCUGUGCCAGCAGCCGCGGUAAUACAGAGGUCCCAAGCGUUGUUCGGAUUCACUGGGCGUAAAGGGUGCGUAGGUGGCUGGGUAAGUUCGGUGUGAAAUCUCCAGGCUCAACCUGGAAAUGGCAUUGAAUACUAUCUAGCUCGAGGGUUGUAGGGGAGACUGGAAUUCUCGGUGUAGCAGUGAAAUGCGUAGAUAUCGAGAGGAACACCAGUGGCGAAGGCGAGUCUCUGGACAACUCCUGACACUGAGGCACGAAAGCUGGGGGAGCAAACAGGAUUAGAUACCCUGGUAGUCCUAGCCCUAAACGGUGCACAUUUGCUGUGAGCGGAUUCGACCCCGCUCGUGGCGGAGCUAACGCGUUA